rnacentral:rRNA from 1 species
GAUGAACGCUGGCGGCGUGCCUAAUACAUGCAAGUCGAGCGAACGGACGAGAAGCUUGCUUCUCUUAUGUUAGCGGCUGACGUGUGAGUAACACGUGUAUAACCUACCUAUAAUACUUGUAUAACUUCGGGAAACCGGAGCUAAUACCGGAUAAUAUUUUGAACCGCAUGGUUCAACAGUUAAAGACGUUCUUGCUGUCACUUAUAGAUGGAUCCGCGCUGCAUUAGCUAGUUGGUAAGGUAACGGCUUACCAAGGCAACGAUGCAUAGCCGACCUGAGAGGGGGAUAGGCAAAACUGGAACUGAGACACGGACAAGACUACUAAGGGAGGCAGCAGUAGGGAAUAUUCCGCAAUGGGCGAAAGCAUGAAGGAGCAACGCCGAGUGAGUGAUGAAGGUCUUCGGAUCGUAAAACUCUGUUAUGAGGGAAGAACAUAUGUGUAAGUAAAUGUGCACAGCGUGACGGUACAUAAUCAGAAAGACACGGCUAACUACGUG